ACCGCCACAAUCGACUUUACCGCUGAUGUCCGCGCCCCGUUAACAAAAGUGAAACCGAGGAAGGGAGGCCAGGCAAAAGCGUUCAGUAUUCACGAGGAUGGGCUUGAUAACUUCGGGCCCGUGAAGGGCAAACCAACUGAGCCAGGCCUACGUCAAAAAGUCAAACCUAUAUGCAAAAGCUCGUCGAUGUUCUCUCAACCAGCUCAAAGAUUUCAACGACCUAGAGUCAGUUUCGCCGCUCUGGAAGCGCCUAAAGCAGAAGAACCUGCCGUGCAACGGAAAAGCCCUCCACAACCUAAUAAGUCACCUGUCAUAAGCAAUCGUAUUACGAAGCAGAAAGAGGAGCAACCACCAGUCAUUGCCGCCGAUCCUCUGAAGAAGUCAAUUAGGAGAAGAACAAUUUACAUUCCUUCUGAAGACACAACUGUGCCCUCUGUUUUCAUGGGUAUAUUCAGCCCAAUCAAAAACGUAAAUCCUCUGAAAGGAAAUGACGAUAUCACCGAAGCUUCUGAGAUUGGGAGCUUAGAAUCCAAGAUUAUUCGGAAGCGGUCAGCAAGGAAGUCACUCUCCGUCGCGCCUCGCCGCGCACCUCUUCAGCCUACGUUAAAACCGAUGCAAGAAUCUAGCAUAAAACAGGAUAUACCAGGUCAGAAUGGUGGAAAGGAGAACAUGCCUCCAGGCGGUGUAACCAUUUCUAGCACCAAACAUGGGAAACUUAAAGGGGCAGAUUUCCCUGUCUUCGAUGUGCCGCAUGUUGAAAAGAGGAAGAACGCAGGCGCUGUGGAGCCCGUGAAAAGGACUACAUCAAUUGUUAAGCCAGCCAUGGAAGCGAAGCCAG
rnacentral:sRNA from 2 species